CAGCAGCCGCGGGAAUACGUAGGUGGCAAGCGUUGUCCGGAAUUAUUGGGCGUAAAGCGCGCGCAGGCGGUUUCUUAAGUCUGAUGUGAAAGCCCCCGGCUUAACCGGGGAGGGUCGUUGGAAACUGGGAGACUUAGAGUGCAGAAGAGGAGAGUGGAAUUCCAUGUGUAGCGGUGAAAUGCGUAGAUAUAUGGAGGAACACCAGUGGCGAAGGCGACUCUCUGGUCUGUAACUGACGCUGAGGCGCGAAAGCGUGGGGAGCAAACAGGAUUAGAUACCCCCGUAGUCCCUGUCUCUUAUU
rnacentral:rRNA from 1 species